UGGUGAGAUGGCUUUAGUGGUAAAGGAUCUUGCUUCCAAGCCCAAAGACCCGAGUUUAAGCCUGAGAACCUAUGUGGAGACUGAGUCUCAUGACCCACAUGGAGGCUUGGAUCUCCAUGAUUAAGGUGCUGGCAUCUGACAAGUUACUGUGCUGUGAGACACCACAUCGAGAAGCCAUAUGAAGGAGAACUGAGGUAUAUGGGCCAGUGAUGCUUGCUGAGAAGGUACUAGACAGCCAGAAUUUACCAAAGAAGUCGGAUAACUGCAACUCCAGAUGACAAAAGGGACAGAAGAACCACUCACUAAAGGUACUAGUGAAAGAAAACGGCAUUGCCAUUGCGUUAAGCCACCGUGUUUUGGAGUUGUUGAAAAAGAUUAUUA